ensembl:lncRNA uncharacterized LOC115015315
GUUUUGGUCCUGAUGGACGCAGCCUCCUGCCAGAUGGAAUGUCAGGGUUAACUGAAGAAAAACAAUCUGCUAGGGAAGACAUCAGAGAAAACACAUAAUCUUUGAAUUAAUUUCUUAAGACCAACCGGAAUAAUAGAGAGAAUUUAGUUGUGUUUUUAUUUUGUAUUAUUUGUAUACCAAUUUACUGCUCCACACUCCAGUCCAGUAGGUGGUGAUAAUGCACCAAAUCGUUGGUUGGCAACCGUCAAAGAAGAAGAAGAAGAAGAAGAAGAAGAAGAAGUUUGACAACCAAGAGAACUUGUUACUCGCUCCGCUCUCUCAACGCGGAAACAGACAGUAGCUGUGAUGCCCAACUGUAUCCACAGAUUUUAGAUUUCGAUCACCUCGACCGAGCAACAGAGAGACGGACAAUAACUUUCUAACGGUGGUGAUUCUACAACUGCAGGAUGCAGCCGGUUGAAGCACAAACAGGCCUGGGCAGUAUCAUAGAAUGUGUGAAGGCGGGUACACACAACAGAGAAGUAUUAUACCUAUGUGAGGUAUGUGUCUGUCGACUUAGUAAAGCUGACAUGCGAAACCAUAUUAUGGGAAGUCUCCACAGAUACAACUACAUUAAAGCCUGGUACCCCCACUUAUUGUCUGAAUGGAAGGAGAAGUCAGACCUGUCUAAGCUGGCCUGGCCAUUGAUGGACAUGGCCAAAAUACUUGAGGGAAAAGAGGGACCGGGGGAUAUCCAGUGGUUAGAUUUGGAAGACGCUGUCUACCAGACGAUCGCAACACUCCGUGAGAAUGACGCAGUAACCCUGAUAACUAUCUUCAGAGAGCUACAGGGUAAAGCUGAAAGCCAUUCAGAGACCCCAUCUGUGCAGCUGGAGCACCAUUCCACCCAAUCGCAGAGGGUUGUAUUGCUGUCCGAGGACCAACAAAGACAGUCCAAAAACUCCCUCGAGACCUCAGCAGUGCCAGAGACUAAACAAACUGUAGCUUUUGUAGCAGAACACACUGUGCUAUCCGAAAACAGUUGUCUUGAUGGCUACACAGGAUCCAAUCCUCUUAUUGGUCUUUUCCGCGUCGUUGAAUGUAGAAGUGAAGAUGGCCGCACAUACUGUUUCUUAUGUCACUGCUGCCGCAUCAGAGCCAACGAAAAGGACAUCAUUGAUCACCUAACCAGAUCUUCCCAUAUCGUGAACUACUUGAUGGAAACUCAUCCUGAGCAGGUGGAGGUAAUGAUGGCAGAUAUUAAUGACAACUAUAAGCUUCUCCAAUCACUGGCCAGGAAAGUGGAGCAAGAGGAGGGCAGAGGAGAGCUGAAGGUGGUAAACGCACCAGAAUCCCUCGGUAUCCAACUGACUGGCAAAAGUUACCACUGGUGUGUAAAGAUGCUUUGUAAUGGAUGGACAUGUACUAACACCCAAAAGCAGAAAAUAGCUGUCAAAGGGCCAAAUGUAAACAAGACCUCAGAUCGAGGCAUGCCGGAGAAAUGUGCCGGGCUGCUGUCACAAUGGCCAAAAAGGAUGACGGCAAAGAGGAAAAUGACCAAUCCUGUGUUCAAGGUAAGCCUGCCUCUUUCCAAAGGUGCAAUGCUGCUGGAGAGGAGCUCUUUCAGCGUGGACAGCAUCCCUCUGUCAUCUGCAUACUCUCCUUCAUCUGACUCCGAUCUUCCAGAGUCUCCAGAGUUACAGUCAGAGGACUGUGAGUUGGACUAUGACACUGGAUCAUUUGAAAAUACCCGAGCUGAACAAUCCUCACAACUUCAGCAAGAUGUCUACAGUGGAGAUGCAGAGGCCGAUCAAUACAUGGAAGCAGAAGGACACGGCACAGUCACUCCGUAUCUAGAGGUGGAUGAAUAUUUCAAUGACUAUGAAUACGUCAACCACUUGGAAGACAUAACUGGAACAAAAUACCAAAAGGUUUAUGGGGGAAAUUAUUACAACGGACAACACGGUUCUCAAGUAAGAUCUAGUAAGAGGUUGUACAAAGAGUAA